ensembl:lncRNA
GGGUUAUGUGGGAUUAGAUAGGUUAGGGUUAAAGGGGUUGGGAUUAUUUAGGGUGAGAUAGGAUUAGGGUUAUGUAGGGUUAAGGGGGGUUAGGGUAAUGUAGGGUGAGAUAAGGAAAGGGUUAAGGAGGGUAAGGGUAUGUAGAGUGAGAUAAGGUUAUGUAGGGUUAAGUAUGGUUAUGCAGGGAUAUGUAGGGUUAUAGGUAUGUGGGGUAAGAUUGUGAUGCAAUGUUUCAGAAAAGGGCCUAUGUGGAUCUAGCUGCUUAAUCCUGACUUAUUUUGCACAGGAGAAGAAUAAUGCUGUAAAUGAUUGUCAUCUUGUCUGUAUGUAAUGUCACCCACUUUAAAAGGAAUUCACAUGGGAAAUAAAAAUAUAUUGUAACCAUAGACUGAUGACUGGAGAUUGCAUGUGAACUGCUGUACGUACGACACACAACUCUGAUUCUAAAGAUGAACUAUGAUAUGAUUAUGAACACAAACCUCUGUAAGACUGUAAAGACCCUGUGAUAUUGUAUAUAGUCAAAACUGUAGAGAAGAUACUCACGGAUCAAUGUAGCUCACAGAUGACGAGCAUAAUUACAGUCACAAUGCUCUUCAAACCAUCAUAGAAUUAAAUCAGUGCUAGCGUCAUUUACUGUAGGUACUUGCUGUCAUGUACUUAAUAUGGCACUAUGUAUCUAUCAUUGGCGGUAACAUUCAUAAUAUGCACAUAAGAAAACUCCACCAUCAUCAUCUCCUCAAACACUUAGAAGGUGCCUUCAUCAGAACUCUGGAUACCUUUAGAAACUCUGACAUUGUGUCCUUUUACCAAAUCGAUGUUGUAUGCAUAUUGUGCAUUAUUUCUAUUUCAUGGAUUUAAAGUCCAGUCAUUCCUGGGUGUCACGCGUGUUUGUGUCUUUGACCCUUGAGGUUGACCCUUGAGUCAGGGUAAGGACAUGUUUGGUCUUAUUCUUGAGUCAGGGUUAGGUUGGUCUGGUCCGUGAUUUAGAAUUAGGUUGGUCUGAUCUGUGAGUCAGGGUUAGGGCAGGUUUGGUCUUAUUCAAUUGUCAGGGUUAGGUUGGUCUGAUUCUUGAGUCAGGGCUAGGUUGGUCUAAUUAUCGAGUCACGCUUAGGGCUAGGUUUGUCUAAUUCUUGAGUCACGGUUAGGUUGGGCUGAUCCUUGAGUCAGGGUUAGUUCUAGGUUGAUCAGAUCUUUGUGUAAGGGUUAGGUCUAGGUUGGGUUGAUCCGUAAGUCAGGGUUAAUGAUAGGUUUGACUGAUCCGUGAGUGUCCUCCACAGGUAGAAUAUAUAGUGUAUAUUAUGGUAUAGAUAUAUAUAUAAUAGUAUAUAUAAUUAUAUCUAUAUAAUGUUAUACAU